rnacentral:tRNA from 1 species
GCGCCCGUAGCUCAACUGGAUAGAGUUCCUGACUUCGGAUCAGGAGGUUGCAGGUUCGAAUCCUGCCGGGCGCG